UGGGGAAUAUUGCACAAUGGGCGCAAGCCUGAUGCAGCCAUGCCGCGUGUGUGAAGAAGGCCUUCGGGUUGUAAAGCACUUUCAGCGGGGAGGAAGGCGUUAAGGUUAAUAACCUUGGCGAUUGACGUUACCCGCAGAAGAAGCACCGGCUAACUCCGUGCCAGCAGCCGCGGUAAUACGGAGGGUGCAAGCGUUAAUCGGAAUUACUGGGCGUAAAGCGCACGCAGGCGGUCUGUCAAGUCGGAUGUGAAAUCCCCGGGCUCAACCUGGGAACUGCAUUCGAAACUGGCAGGCUAGAGUCUUGUAGAGGGGGGUAGAAUUCCAGGUAUAGCGGUGAAAUGCGUAGAGAUCUGGAGGAAUACCGGUGGCGAAGGCGGCCCCCUGGACAAAGACUGACGCUCAGGUGCGAAAGCGUGGGGAGCAAACAGG
rnacentral:rRNA from 1 species